AGAGUUUGAUCCUGGCUCAGGAUGAACGCUGGCGGCGUGCCUAAUACAUGCAAGUCGAACGCUUCACUUCGGUGAAGAGUGGCGAACGGGUGAGUAAUACAUAAGUAACCUGGCAUCUACAGGGGGAUAACUGAUGGAAACGUCAGCUAAGACCGCAUAGGUGUAGAGAUCGCAUGAACUCUAUAUGAAAAGUGCUACGGGACUGGUAGAUGAUGGACUUAUGGCGCAUUAGCUGGUUGGUAGGGUAACGGCCUACCAAGGCGACGAUGCGUAGCCGACCUGAGAGGGUGACCGGCCACACUGGGACUGAGACACGGCCCAGACUCCUACGGGAGGCAGCAGUAGGGAAUUUUCGGCAAUGGGGGAAACCCUGACCGAGCAACGCCGCGUGAAGGAAGAAGUAAUUCGUUAUGUAAACUUCUGUCAUAGAGGAAGAACGGUGGAUAUAGGGAAUGAUAUCCAAGUGACGGUACUCUAUAAGAAAGCCACGGCUAACUACGUGCCAGCAGCCGCGGUAAUACGUAGGUGGCGAGCGUUGUCCGGAAUUAUUGGGCGUAAAGAGCAUGUAGGCGGUUUUUUAAGUCUGGAGUGAAAAUGCGGGGCUCAACCCCGUAUGGCUCUGGAUACUGGAAGACUUGAGUGCAGGAGAGGAAAGGGGAAUUCCCAGUGUAGCGGUGAAAUGCGUAGAUAUUGGGAGGAACACCAGUGGCGAAGGCGCCUUUCUGGACUGUGUCUGACGCUGAGAUGCGAAAGCCAGGGUAGCGAACGGGAUUAGAUACCCCGGUAGUCCUGGCCGUAAACGAUGGGUACUAGGUGUAGGAGGUAUCGACCCCUUCUGUGCCGGAGUUAACGCAAUAAGUACCCCGCCUGGGGAGUACGUCCGCAAGGAUGAAACUCAAAGGAAUUGACGGGGGCCCGCACAAGCGGUGGAGUAUGUGGUUUAAUUCGACGCAACGCGAAGAACCUUACCAGGCCUUGACAUCCCUUGCAAAGUACUAGAGAUAGUAUAGAGGUUAUCAAGGAGACAGGUGGUGCAUGGUUGUCGUCAGCUCGUGUCGUGAGAUGUUGGGUU
rnacentral:rRNA from 1 species